rnacentral:rRNA from 1 species
UACGUAGGCAGCAAGCGUUUGUUCGGAAUUACUGGGCGUAAAGAGUGUGUAGGCGGUUGUUUUAAGUUUGGUGUGAAAUCUCCCGGCUCAACUGGGAGGGUGCGCCGAAUACUGAAUGACUUGAGUGCGGGAGAGGAGAGUGGAAUUCCUGGUGUAGCGGUGAAAUGCGUAGAUAUCAUUUGGAACGCCAACGGUGAAAAACAGCUGGCUGGGGGGUGUGCUGACGCUGAGACACGAAAGCCAGGGGAGCGAACGGGG